GCCUUGGUGGUGUAGUGGUCUAGGUGCUUGCCUGAUAAACAGGAGUGUGUGGGUUCAAUCCCAGCCAAGGUA
rnacentral:tRNA from 1 species